rnacentral:rRNA from 1 species
AACAGGUUGAUAUUCCUGUACCACCUAUAAUCGUUUUAAUCGAUGGGGGGACGCAGUAGGAUAGGCGAAGCGUGCGAUUGGAUUGCACGUCUAAGCAGUAAGGCUGAGUAUUAGGCAAAUCCGGUACUCAUUAAGGCUGAGCUGUGAUGGGGAGAAGACAUUGUGUCUUCGAGUCGUUGAUUUCACACUGCCGAGAAAAGCCUCUAGAUAGAAAAUAGGUGCCCGUACCGCAAACCGACACAGGUAGUCAAGAUGAGAAUUCUAAGGUGAGCGAGCGAACUCUCGUUAAGGAACUCGGCAAAAUGACCCCGUAACUUCGGGAGAAGGGGUGCUCUUUAGGGUUAACGCCCAGAAGAGCCGCAGUGAAUAGGCCCAAGCGACUGUUUAUCAAAAACACAGGUCUCUGCUAAACCGUAAGGUGAUGUAUAGGGGCUGACGCCUGCCCGGUGCUGGAAGGUUAAGAGGAGUGGUUAGCUUCUGCGAAGCUACGAAUCGAAGCCCCAGUAAACGGCGGCCGUAACUAUAACGGUCCUAAGGUAGCGAAAUUCCUUGUCGGGUAAGUUCCGACCCGCACGAAAGGCGUAACGAUUUGGGCACUGUCUCAACGAGAGACUCGGUGAAAUCAUAGUACCUGUGAAGAUGCAGGUUACCCGCGACAGGACGGAAAGACCCCGUGGAGCUUUACUGUAGCCUGAUAUUGAAAUUCGGCACAGCUUGUACAGGAUAGGUAGGAGCCUUUGAAACGUGAGCGCUAGCUUACGUGGAGGCGCUGGUGGGAUACUACCCUAGCUGUGUUGGCUUUCUAACCCGCACCACUUAUCGUGGUGGGAGACAGUGUCAGGCGGGCAGUUUGACUGGGGCGGUCGCCUCCUAAAAGGUAACGGAGGCGCUCAAAGGUUCCCUCAGAAUGGUUGGAAAUCAUUCAUAGAGUGUAAAGGCAUAAGGGAGCUUGACUGCGAGACCUACAAGUCGAGCAGGGUCGAAAGACGGACUUAGUGAUCCGGUGGUUCCGCAUGGAAGGGCCAUCGCUCAACGGAUAAAAGCUACCCCGGGGAUAACAGGCUUAUCUCCCCCAAGAGUUCACAUCGACGGGGAGGUUUGGCACCUCGAUGUCGGCUCAUCGCAUCCUGGGGCUGUAGUCGGUCCCAAGGGUUGGGCUGUUCGCCCAUUAAAGCGGUACGCGAGCUGGGUUCAGAACGUCGUGAGACAGUUCGGUCCCUAUCCGUCGUGGGCGUAGGAAAUUUGAGAGGAGCUGUCCUUAGUACGAGAGGACCGGGAUGGACAUACCUCUGGUGUACCAGUUGUCGUGCCAACGGCAUAGCUGGGUAGCUAUGUGUGGACGGGAUAAGUGCUGAAAGCAUCUAAGCAUGAAGCCCCCCUCAAGAUGAGAUUUCCCAACUUCGGUUAUAAGAUCCCUCAAAGAUGAUGAGGUUAAUAGGUUCGAGGUGGAAGCAUGGUGACAUGUGGAGCUGACGAAUACUAA